AUGUUCCUAAUCGGUUUUGUAAACCGAAGGUCGGCGGUUCGAUCCCGUCCGGGGGCACCA
rnacentral:tRNA from 1 species